UACGGAGGGUGCAAGCGUUGCUCGGAAUUAUUGGGCGUAAAGGGCAGGUAGGUGGUCUCAUUUGUCUGAGGUGAAAGCCUUGGGCUUAACUCAAGAAGGGCCUCAGAAACGGUGAGACUAGAGUGCUGGAGAGGGUCGUGGAAUUCCCGGUGUAGCGGUGAAAUGCGUAGAGAUCGGGAGGAACACCAGAGGCGAAGGCGGCGACCUGGACAGCAACUGACACUCAACUGCGAAAGCGUGGGGAGCAAACAGG
rnacentral:rRNA from 1 species